ensembl:lncRNA
CAAAUAGUUGCAUUUCUCUAUGCUGGCUACCUGGGUAUAUCUCCUUCCUCAGGAGAGAAAUGAGACUAACUAGUAGCUCAAAUGUCACAACUACCUCAGUAUUCUUGAGCAGGCUUUCUGGUGAGUAGAAAGUUUUUCUUUGGAUGUUGUGACACCACAGCUACAGUUCUGCAUUGUCAUGGAGGUUGAGGUUCGAGCCCACGGAGCUGUCCUCCAACACAACGGUGCCCACGCACAGAUGCUGGCAGAAAGGUUUAACCCAUGGAGCAGCAUCCCCCAAAGGAAGGGCAGUGGUAAGCCUACAUUAAAUCAUGCUGGGAAAUCUGUUUCCAGGAGAUUUGUCAUCACUAAUCUAAUAAUUCUAGACGGUGAAAGUAGCCUCAUUG